rnacentral:rRNA from 1 species
GUGAGGAAUAUUGGUCAAUGGGCGAGAGCCUGAACCAGCCAAGUCGCGUGAAGGAAGAAGGAUCUAUGGUUCGUAAACUUCUUUUGCAGGGGAAUAAAGUGCAGGACGUGUCCUGUUUUGUAUGUACCCUGAGAAUAAGGAUCGGCUAACUCCGUGCCAGCAGCCGCGGUAAUACGGAGGAUCCGAGCGUUAUCCGGAUUUAUUGGGUUUAAAGGGUGCGUAGGUGGUUUGAUAAGUCAGCGGUGAAAGUUUGCAGCUUAACUGUAAAAAUGCCGUUGAAACUGUCGGACUUGAGUGUAAAUGAGGUAGGCGGAAUGCGUGGUGUAGCGGUGGAAUGCAUAGAUAUCACGCAGAACUCCGAUUGCGAAGGCAGCUUACUAAGCUACAACUGACACUGAAGCACGAAAGCGUGGGGAUCAAACAGGAUUAGAUACCCCGGUAGUCC